GACCUGGAGAAGCCAACAGCCAUUGCCUACCGCAUGAAAGGGGGAGGCCAGCCUGGUGGAAGCGGCAGUAGCAGCACUGAAGACCCCCCCAGGAGGCCUCCAGAGCCAAAGCCAAAGCCAAAGCCAAGUCAGUGCCUACCCCUAGAGUGGUUCCAGGGUGGGCAAGGGGAGGGGGCCCUCCUCCUGGUUCUCAGGGGCAGAAUGGAGGCAGCCACUGGCCCGUUGGGGCUGAGACAGCCGCAGGGUGGGGGUUAGCUAGGGAAUCCCCACUUCCCCCCAUGUCCUGCCCCUUGGGAUCCAUGCCCUCUGACAUGGCUCCCCGCAGUCCCAGGCCUGGAUGCCUCCACACUGGCUCUGCAGCAAGCCUUCAUCCACAAACAGGCCGUCCUACUGGUGAGUGCUAGCUGGGCUGUGGGAGGUGCCCUGAGCACAGGCCUGCUUGGUCACCACCACCACCACCUCUCCUCAGGCCCGGGAGAUGACCCUACAGGCCAUGGCACUCCAGCAGCAGCCGCUGGGUCCCACCCCAAGGCCCUUGCCUCCAGAGGUGAGCCUGGCCUACCCAGCUGAGCACUGUGCUACUCCAGGGUCUCACCGUGCCUCUCUGGGGUAGUAGCCUCAAGCCCAUUCUGGGCAAACACAGGGUCCCCAAGAAUAGGCCAGUGUGUCCCAGGAAGCAUACUCUACUCUUCAUUCUCUGCAGAAACCCCUAGCACCAGAGGCACAGCCCAAGUUUGUGGGCACUGGACCCCCAGCCAAGCCUGUGCUCCUGCGCUCUGCUCCAAAGCCUUUGGCCCCAGCCCCUCUGGCCAAGGCCCCAAGACCCCCCACCAAGCCUGUGGCUGCCCCCAUUCUAGCUCAGGACCGGGUUUGUCCAGAAACCACUUCGCCCUGCCCAGAUCUCGUCCGGUAUUCAACGCUCAACUCGGAGCACUUCCCUCAGCCCACACAGCAGAUCAAGAACAUCGUGAGGCAGUACCAGCAGCCACCCCGGGGAGGCCGGCCCGAGGCCCUCAGGUCAGCUCUGCCCCCACCCCAGCCCUCUGGGCCAGUGGCCUCCUCACCACACCUGAGUGGCCACCAGCUGGGUGCUCCCUGCCCAGCAACCUUCAGGGAGUGAGUUUUUUUAUGCAGAAGAUCCAGAUGAGCCUUUGGAUGGAGAAAGAAAGGCCCAGACCAUGCUCUAGGUUGUGCUGUGUGACCUCAGACCAGUCUAUAAUCCUCUCUCGGUUUUCAUGUAUGAUGAUAGAGAUGGGGGUGGAGGAAAAAGUUCCCUAUUCUAGAACUCUGUGGCUGGGAAGAAGAAAUUCCUAUGCAAUCCACCAGGAAGGAUGGUGGAAAGGUGUUUGUGAAGCGGCCAGACCCUCACGAGGAGGCCCUGAUGAUCCUCAAAGGGCAGAUGAGCCACCCAGCAGCAGCAUCUGGCAGCCAGGUGAGGGGCGGCUUUGGGCUGGGCCCAGACAGGACAAAAGACAAAGUGUCAGAGAGCCUCAGAAACCAGCUGCCCCUGUCAGCUAUGACCCUGCUGCUGCCCCAGACCCUGUCCCCUCCCUGGGGACUCCACAUGACCCCCUGAGCACUCUCUUUUUUGGGCGGACAGGUGCCCAGAGAGGCUGUGGCCUUGGUGAAACCAGUGACCAGCACCCCAAGGCCAUCCACGGGACCCACUCCAGGUGAGGGGCUAGGAGGGAGGAAGGGAGGAAGGAAGGGGCAGAGGGCUGUUGUCCAAGCAUGUGAGUAAGUCUGUGUGAGUGCAGGUGAGUCCUGGUCUGUGUGUCUGUGUCCCUGAGCCACGUGGACAUACCGUGUGGAUAUUUGUGUAAGUAUAUCAGCACUUAACUAACAGUGACUUCAGGCCAAACCCACUCUGGCCUUGCUACAUCCUCACUAAAAUCCUUCAAGGAAGUACCAUGUUUGUCUAGGUGUUACAGAUGGGAAAACAAAAACAGAGAGGUUAAGUGACUUGCUCAAGAUCACACAGCUCAAAAGUGUCAGACCAAGAUUAUAAACUCAGCCCUCAGGGGGCACUGGAUGGCUCAGUGGUUGAGUAUCUGCCUUUGGCUCAGGGCACAAUCCCAGGGUUUUGGGAUCGAGUCCCACAUCAGGCUUCCCUCAGGGAGCCUGCUUCUCCCUCUGCCUGUGUCUCUGCCUCUCUCUGUGUCUCUCAUGAAUAAAUAAAUAAAAUCUUAAAAAAAAAAAAAAAAA
ensembl:lncRNA